AACGCACAUUGCGCCCGCCAGUAUUCUGGCGGGCAUGCCUGUUCGAGCGUCAUUUCAACCCUCAAGCCCUGCUUGGUGUUGGGGCCCUACGGCUACCGUAGGCCCUGAAAUCUAGUGGCGGGCUCGCUAUAACUCCGAGCGUAGUAGUAAUAUCUCGUUUAGGAAGUGUAGCGGGUGCUGGCCGUUAAACCCCCAAUUCUAGAAGGUUGACCUCGGAUCAGGUAGGAAUACCCGCUGAACUUAA
rnacentral:misc_RNA from 1 species